AGAGUUUGAUCCUGGCUCAGGACGAACGCUGGCGGCGUGCCUAAUACAUGCAAGUCGAACGGAGAUUGUAGCAAUACGGUCUUAGUGGCGAACGGGUGAGUAACGCGUAAUCAACCUGCCCUUCAAUGGGGGACAACAGUUGGAAACGACUGCUAAUACCGCAUACGAUCGUAAUUCGGCAUCGAGAUACGAUGAAAGGUGGCCUCUAUUUAUAAGCUAUCGUUGAAGGAGGGGAUUGCGUCUGAUUAGCUAGUUGGAGGGGUAACGGCCCACCAAGGCAAUGAUCAGUAGCCGGUCUGAGAGGAUGAACGGCCACAUUGGGACUGAGACACGGCCCAAACUCCUACGGGAGGCAGCAGUGGGGAAUCUUCCGCAAUGGACGAAAGUCUGACGGAGCAACGCCGCGUGAGUGAUGAAGGUCUUCGGAUUGUAAAGCUCUGUUAAUCGGGACGAAAGAGCCUAGUGUGAAUAAUGCUAGGAAGUGACGGUACCGGAAUAGAAAGCCACGGCUAACUACGUGCCAGCAGCCGCGGUAAUACGUAGGGGGCAAGCGUUAUCCGGAAUUACUGGGUGUAAAGGGAGAGUAGGCGGCAUGGUAAGUUAGAUGUGAAAGCCCGAGGCUUAACCUCGGGAUUGCAUUUAAAACUAUCAAGCUAGAGUACAGGAGAGGUAAGUGGAAUUCCUAGUGUAGCGGUGAAAUGCGUAGAUAUUAGGAAGAACACCAGUGGCGAAGGCGACUUACUGGACUGAAACUGACGCUGAGGCUCGAAAGCGUGGGGAGCGAACAGGAUUAGAUACCCUGGUAGUCCACGCCGUAAACGAUGAGUGCUAGGUGUCGGGGGGGAACCCUCGGUGCCGCAGCUAACGCAAUAAGCACUCCACCUGGGGAGUACGAUCGCAAGAUUGAAACUAAAGGAAUUGACGG
rnacentral:rRNA from 1 species